GCCUCGUUUUCCAAUUUGUACGGAGGCCUCAGAAGAAUCAAGGCCCCGCGUCCAUGCCUUGUGCCCCCCCCUUCUCGGGCCUGGCUGUCCCCCGCCCCUGUGCCCCUGUCCCCACAUCCGGGGGAGGGGCCGGUCCAGGCGGCCCUGACCUCUCUGCUGUGUCUCAUUCUGACGAAGGUCGCCACACGUGCGGUCACCCAGCGGCCCCGAAUUCCCUCUCUGCCUGGGGUUGGGCUGCCGUGGGGGUGCCGGGCCCGGGAGGAGGCCCCUGAGGGCCAGAGAGGAAUCCAGGGAGGAGCAAACCCCGGGGGGGGCCCCGAGGCCGCUGGGCCCCGGGCCUGGGCGGGCGCAGGUGCAGCCUCAGGGGCAAUCCUGGAGCUUUGGAAAAGUGGGGUGACGGGCGCCCGGGCGUGGCCGUGGGCUGAGCAUCUGACUCUUGAAUGGGCUCGGGUGCUGCUCUCAGGGUCCGGAAUGUGCUGGGGGUUCUCUCCCUCGGCCUCUGCCCCAGCUCACCCCUGCUCUACAUAAAUAAACACAUAAAUAGCUAAAAUCUUUUAAAACAUAAAAAUGAGGGAUCCCUGGGUGGCGCAGCGGUUUGGCGCCUGUCUUCGGCCCAGGGCGCGAUCCUGGAGACCAGGGAUCGAGUCCCAUGUCGGGCUCCCUGCAUGGAGCCUGCUUCUCCCUCUGCCUGUGUCUCUGCCUCUCUCUCUCUCUCUGUGUGACUAUCAUAAAUAAAUAAAAAUUAAAAAAAAACAUAAAAAUGAAAAGCCGGGUGGAACUGCCGUGAUGUAAAGCUCUCCACGAGAGCCCACGGUUCAGUGAUUUUUAGGGCACUCGGUCCCGUCUGCCGCAUCCGGGAGGAAGCUGUGCGCGCUCCCCCCUGAGGACACGGGUGGCUCCCCCGCCCAGGGCUGGCGGACGUCCUGCUGCUGCCAACGGGCACCCCGCGGGCUCCUGUUCCUUGGGGGUAGGUGGCAGUGGGGUCGCUGGGUCGCACGGUGAACUUACAUUUGUCUUUCGUUGGACCUGCCCG
rnacentral:lncRNA from 1 species